GUCUGUCCACACAUCUCUCCUGUGGAUGGUUUCCACCCUCACCCCUACAUCCCUCUGUGUCUGUCCACACAUCUCUCCUGUGGAUGGUUUCCACCCUCACCCCUACAUCCCUCUGUGUCUGUCCACACACCUCUCCUGUGGAUGGUUUCCACCCUCAUCCCUACAUCCCUCGUGUCUAUCCACACACCUCUCCUGUGGAUGGUUUCCACCCUCAUCCCUACAUGCCUCUGUGUCUGUCCACACACCUCUCCUGUGGAUGGUUUCCACCCUCAUCCGUACAUCCCUCUGUGUCUGUCCACACAUCUCUCUUGUGGAUGGUUUCCACCCUCACCCCUACAUCCCUCUGUGUCUGUCCACAUGUCUCCUGUGGAUGGCUUCCACCCUCACCCCUACAUCCCUCUGUGUCUAUCCACACAUCUCUCCUGUGGAUGGUUUCCACCCUCACCCCUACAUCCCUCUGUGUCUGUCCACCCAUCUUUCCUGUGGAUGGUUUCCACUCUCACCUCAAUGCAAGUCUCCAGCCCAGUCCCAGAUGCCUCACGGCCCACUUGCUACCUC
rnacentral:lncRNA from 1 species